GUGGGGAAUAUUGGACAAUGGGCGAAAGCCUGAUCCAGCCAUGCCGCGUGUGUGAAGAAGGUCUUCGGAUUGUAAAGCACUUUAAGUUGGGAGGAAGGGCAGUAAGUUAAUACCUUGCUGUUUUGACGUUACCGACAGAAUAAGCACCGGCUAACUUCGUGCCAGCAGCCGCGGUAAUACGAAGGGUGCAAGCGUUAAUCGGAAUUACUGGGCGUAAAGCGCGCGUAGGUGGUUUUGUAAGUUGGAGGUGAAAUCCCCGGGCUCAACCUGGGAACUGCCUCCAAAGCUGGAUGACUAGAGUACGGUAGAGGGUAGUGGAAUUUCCUGUGUAGCGGUGAAAUGCGUAGAUAUAGGAAGGAACACCAGUGGCGAAGGCGACUACCUGGACUGAUACUGACACUGAGGUGCGAAAGCGUGGGGAGCAAACAGGAUUAGAAACCCGUGUAGUCC
rnacentral:rRNA from 1 species